UGGGGAAUAUUGCACAAUGGGGGAAACCCUGAUGCAGCAACGCCGCGUGCGGGAUGACGGCCUUCGGGUUGUAAACCGCUUUCAGCCAUGACGAAGCUUUUGUGACGGUAGUGGCAGAAGAAGCACCGGCUAACUACGUGCCAGCAGCCGCGGUGAUACGUAGGGUGCGAGCGUUGUCCGGAAUUAUUGGGCGUAAAGAGCUUGUAGGCGGUUUGUCGCGUCGAAAGUGUAAACUCAGUGCUUAACGCUGAGCCUGCUUUCGAUACGGGCUGACUAGAGGAAGGUAGGGGAGAAUGGAAUUCCCGGUGGAGCGGUGGAAUGCGCAGAUAUCGGGAGGAACAACAGUGGCGAAGGCGGUUCUCUGGACCUUUCCUGACGCUGAGAAGCGAAAGCGUGGGUAGCAAACAGG
rnacentral:rRNA from 1 species